rnacentral:rRNA from 1 species
AGUGAACGCUGGCGGUAGGCCUAACACAUGCAAGUCGAACGGCAGCACAGUAAGAGCUUGCUCUUACGGGUGGCGAGUGGCGGACGGGUGAGGAAUACAUCGGAAUCUACUUUUUCGUGGGGGAUAACGUAGGGAAACUUACGCUAAUACCGCAUACGACCUACGGGUGAAAGCAGGGGAUCUUCGGACCUUGCGCGAUUGAAUGAGCCGAUGUCGGAUUAGCUAGUUGGCGGGGUAAAGGCCCACCAAGGCGACGAUCCGUAGCUGGUCUGAGAGGAUGAUCAGCCACACGGGAACUGAGACACGGUCCAGACUCCUACGGGAGGCAGCAGUGGGGAAUAUUAGACAAUGGGCGCAAGCCUGAUCCAGCCAUACCGCGUGGGUGAAGAAGGCCUUCGGGUUGUAAAGCCCUUUUGUUGGGAAAGAAAAGCAGCAGGUUAAUACCCCGCUGUUCUGACGGUACCCAAAGAAUAAGCACCGGCUAACUUCGUG